CCUACGGGAGGCAGCAGUAGGGAAUCUUCCACAAUGGGCGAAAGCCUGAUGGAGCAACGCCGCGUGGGUGAAGAAGGUCUUCGGAUCGUAAAACCCUGUUGUUAGAGAAGAAAGUGCGUGAGAGUAACUGUUCACGUUUCGACGGUAUCUAACCAGAAAGCCACGGCUAACUACGUGCCAGCAGCCGCGGUAAUACGUAGGUGGCAAGCGUUAUCCGGAUUUGUUGGGAGUAAAGGGAACGCAGGCGGUCUUUUAAGUCUGAUGUGAAAGCCUUCGGCUUAACCGGAGUAGUGCAUUGGAAACUGGGCGACUUGAGUGCAGAAGAGGAGAGUGGAACUCCAUGUGUAGCGGUGAAAUGCGUAGAUAUAAGGAAGAACACCAGUGGCGAAAGCGGCUCUCUGGUCUGUAACUGACGCUGAGGUUCGAAAGCGUGGGUAGCAAACAGGAUUAGAUACCCCAGUAGUC
rnacentral:rRNA from 1 species